AUUAGACGCUAGUGCAUAAUUAGUACUAUGCGUAACCAUGUACCAACGCAUAAUGGCUGCCGCUAGAGCAGAAAAAGAAACGCAACGAUGAAUUAACGUCUCUAAGUCCCCUCACAAGUUUGAAACCGCGUUCGUUUGUUGAAACCACGUUCGUUUGUUGAACUGUUUACUUUCGCUUAAUUUUGGAAGGUGAUUGAGCUUAACGUGUAACCUGUGUGUUAUUAUUAACCUAUAAUGUGUAUUAUUAACGUAUAACUUGUGUGUUUAUUAUUAACGAAUAAUGUAUAAACCUGUAUUUCAACGCAAUGUAAUGAUGUAACGCCCAUUCCUGUAUUUAACGCAACGUACCGAUGUAAUAAAGGUAAUAAACCUAUUCACAAAUUGAACGCGUGUUUGACUUAGGGGGACAACGCAACGGGAUUGCUUCUGCAAGUCACUAUAGACUGUAGUUGCCUUCUACAUUUUUAGUUUCAAACUUUCGUGAACCUUUUCGUUGGUUUGUGAAUAUUAAUGUAAACGCGAAAAAAUGGUAAAGCCUACGGAUAGAAACGUUCAUACAUGGCUUGAAGAAAUUCCAUGGAAUGAGGGUGGUUUUUAUGAUACAGGCCCAGAAAUGAGAUCACAGUUAAUAAUCAACGAUGAUCAGGUUUCUAUUUCCUCGUCAAAGAAUUCAGUAAAAUCUAACACAAGUGUACUUGUCGCGAAGGAACAUGCAAAACAGGCCGAGCGCGAGGACAGGGCAGUGUCUAUUACCGAACAUCAACGAUUAAGACAACAAGAGCUAGAUCUACAAACAGAAAGGGAACGUUUAAAGCUACAAACAGAAUUGAAUGUAUCGCGAGCCAGGCAAUGUGCUUUGAAUAAACUCAUAGAAGAGCCAGAUUCUACACAGCAACAAAUUAAAUCUACGUCUGCAUCCACUCCGAGUAAUUUGGUUGAUAGACCUCCUGUUACGACCCCUCCGAAUGAUUUGCAUGACAACCCUCCUUUAGUAAAUGCCUCAAACAGUUCCGUAGAAAACAUUGUUCAGAGACAAAUAGAAUUGGCAGAGCUUAUUCUGAAUCAGCAACGCAGAAAUCUUCUCCCAAGACCUGAAAUUCAUAAAUUUAAUGGUGACCCGCUUCAGUACAGAACUUUUAUUAAACCCUUUGAAAAUAGAAUAGAAAAGUACACGAUUGGUGAUCCAAAUGCGGUUAUAAAAAGUUGCUUACAUAUGGAACCUAAAGUAGGCUAUGCACGGGCAAAACAAUUAUUAGGUCAGAAAUUUGGUGAUAAUUUCAGAAUUACAUCCGCUUACAUGAAUAAACUCUUGAAGUAGCCAGUUAUGAAACCUGAGAACUUAAAUUUACUUCAGAAGUUUUCGCAGCAGCUGUUAUUGUGUUUGAACGCUAUGACUGACAUUGACUAUCUCAAGGAGUUAAAUAAUUCACAAAAUUUACGUGAUCUUAUGGAAAAAUUACCGUUUUCAAUGCGUGAACGAUGGCGUCGUAAAGUGUAUAGUUUACAGUCAGAUGAAUAUACCGCUAAGCUCGCUACCUUUGAGGACUUCGUUAAGUUUGUUAAUUGUGAAGUAGACAUUCUGACAAAUCCAGUGUUUGGUAAAAUAACUGACAAUAAUACUCCGCGAUCUUUUAAUGAAUAUAAACCUAAACAAAGUUUCGCCCCAAAUUUCAGUAGUAACGCAGAAAGAUGGGGGGGGGGGGUGUGCCAAGGGACAUAAUUUAGAUUAUUGCUUUGAAUUUCAGGAGCUGUCGUAUGAAGAACGCCGUGCAUUUGCGAGAGAAAAGCGACUUUGUUUUGGUUGUUUACGUCAAUUUCAUGAUCCUAGUAACUGUGUAAAUAAAAAGACGUGCCGUAAAUGUGGAAAGAGUCACCCCACCGCAUUCCAUUUAGAAUUUUUUUUCCUCCCACAAGAUCUAAUACCCACCCCAUCAAUUCGUUUCGAAGACGCAGCAGUCUGCAAGACGUUCCCCAAGACGUCUCCAUACACGUUGACGGCCAUCAGCUUUAUAAAGAUGAAAGCGACUCUCAUCACUGAUGUGCACACUUUGCCAGUCUACUCUUCUCCAUGUCUGGUGUCUUUGAGCCCAUAUCAAACGCCGCUGAUGGUGAUGAUCCCUGGUGAUAGCUCCAACAUAAGGUCGCCGUGCACGGAGUCCUGCUUCUCUUAGACGACGUCUUACGGUGUUGGCACUUACUGGUCCUUGUCUUCCGACGACUGCUGCACCUGUUCGAGUCCCUGGGCGGAAUCUGUAACGCAGAUGAGUGGCCCGGAUGUAGCGGUCUUGAUCCUGGGUUUUAACGCGUUGUGGACCAGGACGUUGAUAGUCACGUGUUGAUCCAGUAACUCGAACACGUUCCGCCAACCUUACAAUAGUGGACUGAUGACAAUUGAAGUGUCUGGCAAUAGCACGUGUAGACAUGUCAGCCCUGGACAUUCCCAUGGCUUCAUUCCGUUGAUUUUCAGUAAGUCUCGGCAUCUCUAGCUCAAUUCCUUCACACGUCCAACAACAAAUUACGACAGAUUGACGUUUCACAGUUCAUGUACUGCACAUUAAGUUGAAAACAUGCUUUUAAAGGGCUCACACACAAUGCUGCACGUGAAUAUUGGGUUUUUCAUGUGCAUCUCGUGCAAUUUUUUCUUUUCACACGGGCCGAUAUUUUUUGCGUUUGGGAGCAUUGUGUGAAACAAUAGUUCAUAGUAUUGUAUAAUAUUAUACAUACAAAACCACCUAGUAAUAAAAUAUUACGGGAAAAAAGUGCUGCGUUUUCCAUGGCGCUCUGUAUACAAAUAACUAGACCGGUUUUCGAACAGGUUUGAUAGGUCCAAAGCUGCCACUAAUAAUUCAGCCAUAGCAGAACAUCUACAGAACCACCCACAACAUCGAGUUAAAUGGAAUGAGGUCCAUAUACUCACUGCCAACCAACAGAACAAGAAAACCAGGAAGAUCCUAGAAGCUAUAAACAUCAGAAGAUAUUCACCUGAACUUAGUAGGGACUUAGGGCUUUACAUCUCCAGGGCAUAUGAUGAUGUUAUUAAUCUGCAUAAUAUAAUUUAACUGUGGUGGAAGUGGACGUAAAACUCCAGAAACGAACGAACGAACUAAAUGUCCCCCAAGGUGGAAGUGGACAUAAAUCUCCAGAAGCGAACGAACGAACUAAAUGUCAUUGUGCUUGAUAACGAUAAGAGGAUACUUGUCGAAACGUCGUGCUUUUAGA